rnacentral:lncRNA from 1 species
UGGACAAUAUUUGAGCAUUUGCUAUGUGUUUUUAGUUUCUUAAAAUGCUCAUAUACAAGUAACAGAUUAACACAGCAGCAGGAUAUACACGCAAAUACCAAUAAGUAUGUUUAAUAUGACAUCUUUUUCAUUUGUGCUUCAUGUCUCAACAGCGAAUGACUCUCACAGUGAACUGAAGGGUUUGUGAGAAGCAGUGAAGUCAUGCAUACAGAUGGCAGUGCCGGUAUUGGUGGAAAUGAUGCUUCCUGAACUGUUGUAGCAGCGGUCCCAGAGGACUGAGCCACAGUCCAAUAAGAUGUCAUGAAGACUAGACCGAGAGGAGCGCGCAUCAGAUCUCCCUCAAUUAAUCCACCAUUAGAUGCCUGGAAUUCAUAGCUCACUGCCUUUGCUUCAAAUCCGUCCUUUCGUUCUUCUAAUACUAAUUAGUACACUCUCUCUCUCUCUCUCUCUCUCUCUCGGCUUCUCUUUCUCCAUGUCCAUCCCUCCUUAGAUCGAAAGAUAGACAGAUCUUUCCUCACUGAGCCCUGUGGUUGGGUAUUUUAGGUGUUCCUCCCUCCCUCUCUCUCCUCUCUCUCUCAGUAUCUUAUCCUUACAGCCACAUACUCACUCUCAGUCUGUCCCUCUCUCUCACACUCCUGCUUUCUCUCCCUCCCACUCUCUCUCUGUAACUCCCUCGGUCCUCUCAUCCUCCUGUGACUUAGUUUGCCGUGCGCAACAACUGGCAGACGUCUGUUCUGUUCUCCGGCGAAGUGACGAGCCUGUUUGGGAGGAGAUCCUGCGCAUUUGGGCACAUGGUCUUAUGGCAGUGACGGAUCGGCGGCACAACAACCUGAAGGAACGGAGGCACGGCAUCCUCAGCCUUCCCCGUCACUGCCGGCUCAAGGCAGCGGACGAAUGGGCGGCUUUGUGCUCAGCGGGUGCCGCUCUGAAGAGAUCUCUAGGAUCUGGCCUGGAUGUUUGUGAGCACUUCCGCCCCCAGAGGCCGGGCUGGACCGAGGACAGGACGUGA